AACGAACGCUGGCGGCAGGCCUAACACAUGCAAGUCGAGCGCGCCCUUCGGGGUGAGCGGCGGACGGGUGAGUAACGCGUGGGAACGUGCCCUUCUCUGCGGAAUAGCCUCGGGAAACUGAGAGUAAUACCGCAUACGCCCUUUGGGGGAAAGAUGCAUCGGAGCAGGAUCGGCCCGCGUUGGAUUAGGUUGUUGGUGGGGUAAUGGCCCACCAAGCCGUCGAUCCAUAGCUGGUUUGUGAGGAUGACCGGCCACACUGGGACUGAGAUACGGCCCAGACGCCGACGGGAGGCAGCAGGCGGGAAGAUGGAACAAUGGGGGGAAGCCUGAUGCAGAAACGCCGCGAGCGGGAUGACGGCAAUCGGGUUGUAAACCGCAUUCGCCUGGGACGAAGCGUGAGAGACGGUAGUGGGUAAAGAAGCACGGGCUAACUACGUG
rnacentral:rRNA from 1 species